rnacentral:misc_RNA from 1 species
AAGUCGUAACAAGGUUUCCGUAGGUGAACCUGCGGAAGGAUCAUCAUUGUAUUCAAAUCUUUACACACCCUUGUGAACUGUGUGGCUGCCUGUCCUGCGUCUUUUAGGCGCUAGGCAUGCAUCUGCGCCCAUUAAUUUGGUGGACGUGUUGGCGCGAUUAGUGUAUAACAGCGCGUGUAAAUGUGUGUGCAUGACUAGUUUUGUUGUGUGCGCGCACACGCUAGCGUUGUUUUGCUGCGCGCCACCGUCCGCUGUGAAAACAAACAAACACACUAUAUAUACAAUCUUUAAGCUGAAAUAAUUUAUAUGUAAUUAAAAUACAACUUUCAACAAUGGAUCUCUUGGCUCUC